GCCGUUGUGAGUAAUUGGCAACUCGCAAGAUUCUGAGUCUUGAGUUCCCGGUUCGAAUCCGGGACGGC
rfam:Microbulbifer sp. ZGT114 ZB100000, whole genome shotgun sequence.